AAUGAACGCUGGCGGCAGGCCUAACACAUGCAAGUCGAGCGGAUGAAGGGAGCUUGCUCCUGGAUUCAGCGGCGGACGGGUGAGUAAUGCCUAGGAAUCUGCCUGGUAGUGGGGAUAACGUCCGGAAACGGGCGCUAAUACCGCAUACGUCCUGAGGGAGAAAGUGGGGGAUCUUCGGACCUCACGCUAUCAGAUGAGCCUAGGUCGGAUUAGCUAGUUGGUGGGGUAAAGGCCUACCAAGGCGACGAUCCGUAACUGGUCUGAGAGGAUGAUCAGUCACACUGGAACUGAGACACGGUCCAGACUCCUACGGGAGGCAGCAGUGGGGAAUAUUGGACAAUGGGCGAAAGCCUGAUCCAGCCAUGCCGCGUGUGUGAAGAAGGUCUUCGGAUUGUAAAGCACUUUAAGUUGGGAGGAAGGGCAGUAAGUUAAUACCUUGCUGUUUUGACGUUACCAACAGAAUAAGCACCGGCUAACUUCGUGCCAGCAGCCGCGGUAAUACGACGGGUGCAAGCGUCAAUCGGAAUCCACUGGGCGUAAAGCGCGCGUACGUGGCUUCAGCACAAGCUUGGCAUGUGCAAAUCCCCGGGGCUCAACUGGGCAACUGUAUCCAAAACUACUGA
rnacentral:rRNA from 1 species